GACGAACGCUGGCGGCGUGCUUAACACAUGCAAGUCGAACGGACAGACCCUGCUUUUGUGGGGUGCUCGAGUGCCGCACGCGUGUGUAACACGUGAGUAACCCGCCCUUGACUUUGGGAUAACUCCAGGAAACUGGGGCUCAUACCCGAUAGGAGAUACUGCUCCGCGGGGGGGAUUGGAGAGUUUCGGCGGUGGGGGAUGGACUCGCGGCUUCUCAGCUUGUUGGUCGGGUAGGGGCGUACCAAGGCUGUGACGGGUAGCCGGCCUGAGAGGGGGACCGGCCACAAUGGGACUGAGGUACGGCGCAGACUGCAACGGGAGGCAGCAGUCGGGAGCAUUGCACAAUGGGGGGAAGCCUGUUGCAGCAACGUCGCGUGCGGGAUGACGGCCUACUGGUUGUAAACCGCUGUCGCCGGAGACGAGGCGGGAUUGACGGUAAUGGGUAAAGAAGCACCGGCUAACUACGUG
rnacentral:rRNA from 1 species